AUGAGGCCCCCGCGGGGCCUGCGGACGACGGAUCAGUACCCGCUCAGCGACAAGACUGGCCACU
rnacentral:ncRNA from 1 species